GCCCGGAUGGUCUAGUGGUAUGAUUCACGCUUUGGGUACUUCGAAAGGGGUUCUUCCUGGCUGUGUGAGGUCUUGGGUUCAAUUCCCAAUUCGGGCC